ACUGUGAAUUCACGUUGCUACUGUUGCUUAUCUGCUGUCAUUCUCGUCGCUCGUUUUCCCGCCACAGUGAAGCUGAGCUGCUGCUUCUCUUUCCCUAUCAUCAGCUGUUCCUUUAUUAUGUACUCUCAAUGAUUUGUUCAUCUCCGUCGUGUGGAGUAGCUGACAAUCUCUUCCCCAUUUCUGCUCUGUUUAUCGCGGAUGAAGGAAUUAAGCACAAUAAACAAGGCGAGGGCAAAGAAGAAUGAAUAUCCCUACUUGAAAAGGUGUAAGAGCUAUGCUGCUAUUGAGAAAGACUAGUUAAAGGAUCAAGUAUCAGAGGAUUCUAUAUCUCAUGGAGACAGACUCACGAGCUUUACCUUCCAUCAAGGAUGUUUGACUACCUUGGUCAUGUUCGAGGUGUAGGAUUUAGAAUAACUAAGAAGGAGUACUUCGUCAAGACCCCAAAGAAACCCAGGAAGACUUUUGGUUCUGUAAAGAUAGAUUGGUUAUGGUAAGAGCUUCACAACACCUAGGCAGUUGUGGAGUAGCAAAAUAAAUACAUUGAAAUAUUGCUCAAGGGACGUGUGCUAGGUAUUUCUACAAUAGAGUUUAGCCCUUCAAGUGCAAAAGAAAGUUGCACGAGCAUCACCUCUCCAAAGCUAUUUGAGCCUGGUGACAAGUUGCUAGAGUCAUCCUUGAAGGGCAAGGGCAAGAGCAAAAGACAUCUGAGCGGACUAAAAAUUAUAUCACAUAUCCAUUAGUUACCCCUUCACCUUCGUCCCUAAAGCCUAUUGUGAAGCCUACCUCAAAGGGUAUAUCAAAGGUUGUGGUGGCUACCUUAACAGUUGCAUCAAAGGCUAAGGUGGUUACACUAAAGGCCCCCUCUAAGGUUCAAAUUGUUCAAGCACCCUCCACAAAGAAUCAUGAAAUGUUAGAUCAUUAUGUAAAAUCUUAUGAUGGUGUUACAGUGUCAUUUAAGAAGGAGAUUUAUCGUAAUGUUGGCACCUGGGAUAACAUCGAUAGUGAGAUUGUAGGAGAAGUUAUCAACCAUAUGAAUGCAAGCACGUUUCUUUGCAAUCAUUUUAUGAGGUACUUGCACAAUACGAUGAUAACACCUAAAGGUCUCACAGAUACACUGAUUUUGAUAAAUCUCCAAUCUACCACCCCCCACAAGCAAGGGUUACUGGUACAAUGAGUAACGAGAAGAGAAAACAAAUGAUAUCAUCAAUUAUCUAGUCCAGCUUGUAACUUGGGAGAAUCAAAUUUUCUUGGCACCAUUUUGUGAUGGAUGAACCAUUUUUGGUGCGGGCUCAUUGUGAUAAGGCUCAUAGGAUGCUACUUGUGCUCAACCCAUAUGGAGGCAUGAAGUGGUAUCUUGAUCCUACUGGAGGUCAUUCGGACAAUUGGAAACAUUUCAAGUUAAAUAAUUUCUCUACAUAUGUAUAAAUUAUUAUUUUUUUAUGAUUUUUCACAUAAAGUUUCAUAUUGUCAUGUGUGUAGGGCUAUCCACUUGUUCAAAAGCCAUAGAGAGUUUCCUAUAAUUGGAAACUCUAACACAUAUAUGAAGAUGCAUUUGAUUAUAGGAUAAUUAAGUGUCCAAAGCAAUGUGACAAGGUUGUUGAUUGUGGCUGCAAUAUCAUGAGUACUUCCAAGAUUCAUAUAUGGAGGAAUAUAGUCUAGCUAAAAUCGAUGAAAUCCUUGAAGAAUUGGUUGAGAGUUUACUCAAGCAAUGGGUGCAAAACAAGUGAUCACAACCAGGCAUUUUACUAUAUCCUCAUCAAUUUUGUUUUAGUAAAUAGGUUCUUAGCACUUUUUCAAAAUAAGCAUUCUUUGACCAACUUUAAGUUUUUAGUAACGUAUGCCUUUUAA